GGGUUAAUGUGAGGGGACAAGUUGAUAGCCACCCAGCUAAAGCUAUCUUAAAAGAAUGCUGGGAACACAUUCCAAUAUCUCCUGAUUCACACUCCAGCCCAGUCGGUGGCGGUAAAUGCACCGUUAAGUUGGUUUGCCAACCGCCAAAAAAAAAGAAGAAGAAGGAGAAGAAGAGAAAGUGAAAGAAACUUUCAAUCUGCGUUAGUUCCGUUAGUUCUCUAAAAAUAGGAUGAAGUACCCCAGUAUUAUGGAUAACAAAUCGUUGUGCUUUUCUGGGAUGCUUGUCUACUUAAGGUGUUUUUAUAUGUUGAUAACCUCCUCGUCCACGGGAAAAGCCAUUCUACAUCGUCUCUGAUGAAUCGUGGCGUCGAGUAGGCCCGUUCAUCACCGGUUUCCGUGUCUGCUAAACCGUUAGCUGACUGAACUUGUACAGUUGGGCCUGACGUUCGUGGCAACUGGAUAUCUUCUCAGGUCGUCACGGUCAAACUGAAACCAGUGCUGAUCUGUUUCCAAUGUUAGUUUAGCUGCAGUAUGUCAGAGGAGCGAGGAAAUGACUAUCUCUCUAAGACGAGUCUCUCAGAGGAACAGAGUAAAAGAUCAGGCUCACAUGUGUCCAGCUCUGUGUCUGUGAAGAGUGACUGCUCAAAGGAUGGUGGCCUACCGAACUUCAGUGAGAAAAAGACAUCUAUCAAAAGGUAUUUAUAUGUUUUUUACAUUAUACAGUUAUAAUUUCUACACAAUGUGAUGAAACUUAACUAAAUACAACUAUAAUUCACAGAAAACAAUGUCCGCUAGUCUGAUUUCCUUUUUACUGAACUCAGUCUGGAGCUUCUCUCCAGUAACACAAUAACACAGAACGCCACUAGGGGGCAUAAAUUUACCAGAA